rnacentral:lncRNA from 1 species
CGGAUUGGGUUUCAAAAUUGGACCCAUUCUAUAUUGCGGGUCAGAUCACCUAAUUUGACCUGUUGAUCCAAUCUAUACACGAUUUAAGGAUUUAUGGGGCCGGACUAGGUUUUAAAUUUGGGCACGUUCCAUAUUUCAGGUCGGGUUUGGGUUUAUUAAGGUCAGACCCGACCUGAUAUGAUCCGAUCGUUUGCUAUAUAGGUCUAAUUUGGGUCUUCUAACUUAUUACUCGAGUUUAUCCAAUCCCCAAAU